AACGAACGCUGGCGGCAUGCCUAACACAUGCAAGUCGAACGAGACCUUCGGGUCUAGUGGCGCACGGGUGCGUAACGCGUGGGAACCUGCCCUUAGGUUCGGAAUAACUCCCCGAAAGGGGUGCUAAUACCGGAUAAUGUCUUCGGACCAAAGAUUUAUCGCCUUUGGAUGGGCCCGCGUUGGAUUAGCUAGUUGGUAGGGUAAAAGCCUACCAAGGCGACGAUCCAUAGCUGGUCUGAGAGGAUGAUCAGCCACACUGGGACUGAGACACGGCCCAGACUGGUACGGGAAGCAGCAGUGGGGAAUAUUGGAGAAGGGGCGAGAGCCGGAUCCAGCAAUGGCGGGUGAGGGAGGAAGGGCGUAGGGUUGUAAAGGGCGGUUACCGGGGAGGAUAAUGACAGGAGCGGGAGAAUAAGCGCCGGCUAACUCCGUG
rnacentral:rRNA from 1 species